UACGAAGGGUGCAAGCGUUAAUCGGAAUUACUGGGCGUAAAGCGCGCGUAGGUGGUUCAGCAAGUUGAAGGUGAAGUCCCCGGGCUCAACCUGGGAACUGCCUCCAAAACUACUGAGCUAGAGUACGGUAGAGGGUAGUGGAAUUUCCUGUGUAGCGGUGAAAUGCGUAGAUAUAGGAAGGAACACCAGUGGCGAAGGCGACUACCUGGACUGAUACUGACACUGAGGUGCGAAAGCGUGGGGAGCAAACAGG
rnacentral:rRNA from 1 species